CCUACGGGUGGCAGCAGUGGGGAAUAUUGGACAAUGGGCGCAAGCCUGAUCCAGCAAUACCGCGUGUGUGAAGAAGGCCUUAGGGUUGUAAAGCACUUUCAAUGGGGAGGAAAACCUACCGGUCAAUACCCGGUAGCUUGACAUUACCUGUAGAAGAAGCACCGGCUAACUCCGUGCCAGCAGCCGCGGUAAUACGGAGCGUGCAAGCGUGGAUCGGAGUUACUGGGGGUGAAGCGUUAAUAGGCGGGUGAAAGCCCCGGGCUUAACCUGGGAACUGCAUUUGAAACUGGCGGACUAGAGUUGAGUAGAGGGGAGUGGAAUUUCAGGUGUAGCGGUGAAAUGCGUAGAUAUCUGAAGGAACACCAGUGGCGAAGGCGACUCCCUGGACUCAAACUGACGCUGAGGUACGAAAGCGUGGGUAGCAAACAGGAUUAGAUACCCUUGUAGUC
rnacentral:rRNA from 1 species